rnacentral:rRNA from 1 species
AGUGAACGCUGGCGGUAGGCCUAACACAUGCAAGUCGAACGGCAGCACAGUAAGAGCUUGCUCUUACGGGUGGCGAGUGGCGGACGGGUGAGGAAUACAUCGGAAUCUACUUUUUCGUGGGGGAUAACGUAGGGAAACUUACGCUAAUACCGCAUACGACCUACGGGUGAAAGCAGGGGAUCUUCGGACCUUGCGCGAUUGAAUGAGCCGAUGUCGGAUUAGCUAGUUGGCGGGGUAAAGGCCCACCAAGGCGACGAUCCGUAGCUGGUCUGAGAGGAUGAUCAGCCACACUGGAACUGAGACACGGUCCAGACUCCUACGGGAGGCAGCAGUGGGGAAUAUUGGACAAUGGGCGCAAGCCUGAUCCAGCCAUACCGCGUAGGUGAAGAAGGCCUUCUGGUUGUAAAGCCCUUUUGUUGGGAAAGAAAAGCAGCAGGUUAAUACCCCGCUGUUCUGACGGUACCCAAAGAAUAAGCACCGGCUAACUUCGUG